GACGACGCUGGCGGCGUGGAUUAGGCAUGCAAGUCGAACGGUAUCAUCCUUUCGGGGGUGAGAGAGUGGCGAACUGGUGAGUAACACGUAGGUUAUCUACCCUCAAGACGGGGACAACCCAGGGAAACUUGGGCUAAUACCGGAUGUGAGCAACUUUUAGUUGUUUGAAAGGUGGCGUAAGCUGUCACUUGGGGAUGAGCCUGCGUCCUAUUAGUUAGUUGGUGAGGUAACGGCUCACCUAGGCAAUGAUAGGUAGGCGGCCUUAACGGGUGGUCGCCCACACUGGGAUUGAGAUACGGCCCAGACUCCUACGGGAGGCAGCAGUCGAGAAUAGUCUACAAUGGUCGGAAGACUGAUAGUGCGACGCCGCGUGAACGAUGAAUCCCUUCGGGGUGUAAAGUUCUUUUAUAUGUGAGCAGUGCUUCUUAUAUUAACAGUAUGGGGAGAGAGAUAUUAGCAUAUGAAUAAGCAACGGCUAACUCCGUG
rnacentral:rRNA from 1 species